GGGUUGUGAGGUUAAGCGACUAAGCGUACACGGUGGAUGCCCUGGCAGUCAGAGGCGAUGAAGGACGUGCUAAUCUGCGAUAAGCGUCGGUAAGGGNNNNNNNNNNAAGCUGAAAAUUGAAACACUGAACAAUGAAAGUUGUUCGUGAGUCUCUCAAAUUUUCGCAACUCUGAAGUGAAACAUCUUCGGGUUGUGAGGUUAAGCGACUAAGCGUACACGGUGGAUGCCCUGGCAGUCAGAGGCGAUGAAGGACGUGCUAAUCUGCGAUAAGCGUCGGUAAGGUGAUAUGAACCGUUAUAACCGGCGAUUUCCGAAUGGGGAAACCCAGUGUGUUUCGACACACUAUCAUUAACUGAAUCCAUAGGUUAAUGAGGCGAACCGGGGGAACUGAAACAUCUAAGUACCCCGAGGAAAAGAAAUCAACCGAGAUUCCCCCAGUAGCGGCGAGCGAACGGGGAGCAGCCCAGAGCCUGAAUCAGUGUGUGUGUUAGUGGAAGCGUCUGGAAAGGCGCGCGAUACAGGGUGACAGCCCCGUACACAAAAAUGCACAUAUUGUGAGCUCGAUGAGUAGGGCGGGACACGUGGUAUCCUGUCUGAAUAUGGGGGGACCAUCCUCCAAGGCUAAAUACUCCUGACUGACCGAUAGUGAACCAGUACCGUGAGGGAAAGGCGAAAAGAACCCCGGCGAGGGGAGUGAAAAAGAACCUGAAACCGUGUACGUACAAGCAGUGGGANNNNNNNNNNAGCUCGAUGAGUAGGGCGGGACACGUGGUAUCCUGUCUGAAUAUGGGGGGACCAUCCUCCAAGGCUAAAUACUCCUGACUGACCGAUAGUGAACCAGUACCGUGAGGGAAAGGCGAAAAGAACCCCGGCGAGGGGAGUGAAAAAGAACCUGAAACCGUGUACGUACAAGCAGUGGGGGCCUCUUUAUGGGGUGACUGCGUACCUUUUGUAUAAUGGGUCAGCGACUUAUAUUCUGUAGCAAGGUUAACCGAAUAGGGGAGCCGAAGGGAAACCGAGUCUUAACUGGGCGUUAAGUUGCAGGGUAUAGACCCGAAACCCGGUGAUCUAGCCAUGGGCAGGUUGAAGGUUGGGUAACACUAACUGGAGGACCGAACCGA
rnacentral:rRNA from 1 species